rnacentral:rRNA from 1 species
GACGAACGCUGGCGGCGUGCUUAACACAUGCAAGUCGAACGGAAAGGCCCUGCUUUUGUGGGGUGCUCGAGUGGCGAACGGGUGAGUAACACGUGAGUAACCUGCCCUUGACUUUGGGAUAACUUCAGGAAACUGGGGCUAAUACCGGAUAGGAGCUCCUGCUGCAUGGUGGGGGUUGGAAAGUUUCGGCGGUUGGGGAUGGACUCGCGGCUUAUCAGCUUGUUGGUGGGGUAGUGGCUUACCAAGGCUUUGACGGGUAGCCGGCCUGAGAGGGUGACCGGCCACAUUGGGACUGAGAUACGGCACAGACUCCUACGGGAGGCAGCAGUGGGGAAUAUUGCACAAUGGGCGGAAGCAUGAUGCAGCCACGCCGCGUGCGGGAUGACGGCCUUCGGGUUGUAAACCACUUUCGCCUGUGACGAAGCGUGAGUGACGGUAAUGGGUAAAGAAGCACCGGCUAACUACGUG